rnacentral:rRNA from 1 species
UACCAGCGGUCCAAGUCGCAGCCACUUUUAUUGGGUCUAAAACAUCCGUAGCUUGCUAAGUCAGUCUUUUGUGAAAUCUGGCAUCUUAAGUGUCGGGCGAGCAAGAGAUACUGCUUAGCUAGAGACCGGUAGAUGUAAGGAGUACGGAUUGGGUAGCGGUAAAAUGCGUUGAUCCUUUCUGGACUAACGAUAGCGAAGGCACCUUACAAUGACGGAUCUGACAGUGAGGGAUGAAGGCUAGGGGCGCAAAUUGGAUUAGAACCGUACGGUC